CAUUUUGGAGAUAUCGGCGAUCUCAAUAUCCAUGAUCUCUUUCACGCAGUUACAGGUAAGGCCUUUUCAUGAUUUCAUCUAAAAGACACAUUUAGAGUAUCUCGAACGCAUUACCCAAUAAACACAAUUCCACCAAAUCUCAUUCACAAAUAUUGAAUCACAAUACUGAAGACUUGAAUCGUAGAGAAAGUUAGAAAUUGUAUUGACGUGGAAAUGUGUUACCUCUUUAAAUUUCAAAUGGAGUUUUGGAAAAAUGGCACUGAUAAACAAUUCAGUUGUAGCAAAGAUGUAAUUGAAUGUCAGUUAAACAGUAGUUACGGUGUUCAUAAGUAAUUGCUAAUUAGAAUCAAAUACUAAACAUUCCAGUAUUUUGACCUAUUUUUACCUAUUUACCUACACUGAACAAAAAUAUAAACGCAACAUGUUUAAUUAUGGUCCAAUGUUUAAUGAGUUGAAAUAAAAGAUCCCAGAAAUGUUCCACAAGCACAAAAAGCUUAUUUCUCUCAAAUUUUGUGCCAAAAAAUGUGUAUACAUCAUUGUUAGUGAGCAUUGAUAAUCCAUCCACCUGACAGGUGUGGCAUAUCAAGAAGCUGAUUAAACAGCAUAACCAUUACACAGGUGCACCUUAUUGCUGGGGACAAUAAAAGGCUACUCUAAAAUGUGCAGUUUUGUCACACAAGACAAUGCCACAGAUGUCUCAAGUUUGAGGGAGCGAGAAAUUGGCAUGCUGACUGCAGUUAUGUCCACCAGAGCUGUUGCCAGAGAUAUUAAGGUUAAUUUCUCUACCAUAAGCCACCUCCUAUAUCGUUUUAGAUAAUUUGGCAGUAUGUCCAACCGGCCUCACACCGCACACCACGUGUAUGGCAUCUUGUGGGUGAGCAGUUUGCUGAUGUCACCGUUGUGACCAGAGUGCCCCAUGGUGGCGGUGGGGUUAUGGUAUGGGCAGGCAUAAACUACGGACAAUGAACACAAUUGCAUUUUAUCGAUGGCAAUUUGAAUGCAGAUACCGUGACAAGAUCCUGAGGCCGAUUGUCAUGCCAUUCAUCCACCGCCAUCACCUCAUGUUGAAACAUGAUAAUGUACACGAUUCCUGGUAGCUGAAAAUAUCCCAGUGCUUCCAUGGCCUGCAUACUCACCAGACAUGUCACCCAUUGAGCAAGUUUGGGAUGCUCUGGAUCAACGUGUACAACAGUGUGUUUCAGUUCCCCACAAUAUCCAGCAACUUUGCACAGCCAUUGAAGAGGAGUGGGACAACAUUCCACAGGCCACAAUCAAUAGCCUGAUGAACUUUAUGCGAAAGAGAUGCAUGAGGCAAGUGGUGGUCACAUCAGAUACUGACUGCUUUUUCUGAUCCAUGCUGAUCCAGGUAUCUGUAUUCCCAGUCAUGUGAAAUCCUAAAUCCAUAUAAUCCAUAUAUAUUAUAUUUGACUGAUUUCCUUAUAUGAACUGUAACUCAGUAAAAUCUUUGAAUAUGGUGCAUGUUGGGUUUAUAUUUUAGUUCAGUACAGAUUAUCCAUAGCUGUCUAAUUCUGAUCUACUUUUUCUAUGUUUAUUUGAGGUGUAUUCUUACUGUGGAAGGCAUCUCAACAACAUCACAGAUGGGUCUGUGGUUUAUUGCUUUCAUCACUUUUCUGUUGAAAGGUGCACUCUGCCAACAGUGGAGUCUGUGGAUGCCCCAAAGCAUUGUGGCUGUUGGAGGAUCCUGCCUACUGGUCCCAUGUAGAUUUGAGAUCCCUGCUGCAUUUGAUGCUGACUUGAAAAACUGCACACCCACUGGGCUUUGGUCUAAAAAUGUUUUUUGGGGAAAUAUAGUAUUGAGCUCAGCCCAAACGGAUGCCCAAAACACCAUAAAGGGAGUGAUGGUGGGAAAUCUGUUGAGCAAGAACUGCACCACUCUUUUCAACAGUUUCCCUGCAGGAUAUGAUGACACAUAUAUCUUCGGGCUGGAAUGUGCUGGAACAAAUCGCCUCAAGUAUAUUUUCUACCCAGGAGUACAUAUCAGUCAUACAGACACCCCACCCAAACCCCAACUAACCCCUAUGGGCAACAUCACAGAGGGGGAGCUGGUUAGACUGAGCUGCUCUGCCUCUGCCCCCUGUCCUACGUUCCCACCUUCUCUGAUCUGGACCUCUGGGCUGGGUGGCAGUGUCGAGAGCCAGCUACAGGAGGGUAUAGAUGGGCUCAUGACCAUGACCUCCACCCUUACCUUUACCGCCUCCCUCCUCCAUCACGGGCUGCUGGUCAGAUGUUCUGCCCGCUACACACUGCAGCCAGGGGGCACCACCAAGACAACUCAGGGGAACCUGACCCUCAAUGUUCUUUAUGCUCCUAAAAACACUGUAGCCCUGUCCAGCCCAUCUGGGCCUGUGCCCGACGGGAGGGCAGUGACCCUGACCUGUCAGAGUGAUGCCAACCCACCAGUGGAGCGCUACUCCUGGUACAAAGACAUCAGUGGGCAGGUGACCUGGAAGGCUAAUGGGCAGACACUGGUCCUCCUGGUCAACAAGGCAGACAGCGGGCUGUACCUCUGUGAGGCCCACAACGAGAAGGGAUCACAAAGGUCAAAGGUCAUGCCUCUGGAGUUCGAAAGUGGCCAAUGUUCCGUGAUGGUCCCCUACAUCAUUUGUGGAGUGAUGGUGUUGCUCUAUGUUCUAACCGUCACCGUGGAUGUGUAUAAAUAUAAAAGGUAUCAUUGUUUACAUGUUCAUGCCCAUCGAGUUAAGGAAUACAUUUAUAGAAGGACUCUUCCGAUCCACUUUAUUCUAACCCAAGUUCCCCAUUAUUCCUCCCCUAAGUCUGUCCAGAAGACUGAAAGUAAGAGGAACAUUUUCAUAUUCAUAAUAUUCUGUUUAAUUAACUGAGAAAUUUUAAGGCAUUGGCAGUAGAUGAUGCAGUAUGAUACGAUACAGAGACAAAGUGUUUCUACGUCAAAGAUUCUACGUCAAAGAUUCUACGUCAAAGAUCCUACGUCAAAGCUUUAACAAUUCUCUGUAUGACUAAUACACAUCUUGAAUCUUUGACCAAAUUCACUGUGGUUUUGUAUAAAGCGUGCAACACUAAGGCUCCUAUUUCAUAUUACAUUUGAUAUAGUAUUGAUACCUCUGAGACUGAUAGUCUGUUGGAUAAGAUAUAACUCCUCCGUUUAAAUACAAUUAUUUCUCCUCGAUAUACCAGCAGCAGCUAGAGCUGUCAGAGAAAGGAGAUGCCACGUACACUAACCUAACGAUCGCCAGCAUCAGCUCUGACUAUGACCAACUCCAGAUGACCAGGGCUGCCCGAGGUGAAGCUCAUCCUGGCAGAAGAAGUGAAAGAGCUGCUCCUUGAAACCACAUGGCAAAACAGAUCCAGAUUUGACCUUUGUAUUUUAACUUUGUUGUAUGGAGUGUAGUACUAAAUUGUAGUUUACUCUUUUUGGUUUCUUCAGAUCGUACUGUAUAUUUAUAUCGCAAAAUACAUGAUAUUAUAUAUUUGAAUCUGAUGCCUCGAUUUUAUAUACCUGUCAGCAACGGGUGUGGGUGAAAAAGCCGAAUCCACUCAUUUGAAGGGGUGUCCACAUACUUCUGACCAUGUAGUGUAGUACUAAAUUGUAGGUUACUCUUUUUGGUUUGUGGUUCAGCAUCAUCAAUGUAUUUCUGUCUUCUUCUCUGUAGAUUAUGUUAAACCAUUCAGGGGGUUGUGGGUUGUGUCAGUCAGGAUUAUAAUGGCCAUAAUCAGUCGAAUAAAUCUCUUAAUGUCA